ensembl:lncRNA
AGCCACCAAGGAAGUCCAAGAACACUGGAGUGGGUAAUCUAUUCCUUCUCCAGAGGAACUUCCUGACCCAGGAAUUGGACUGUGGUCUCCUGCACUGCAGGCGGAUUCUUUACCAGUUGAGCUACCAGAGAAGUCCAGGUUCUAUGAGAGAUGGAGCUGCUCUGAUUGGGUGGAGGUGGCCCCCAGGUCAUGCCUCUCUUCCCCCCAGGCCACCACCUUGCCUGUGCCCUCUGGAGUGCCACAGAGCGUAGAGUGAAAGCUGCUUACAGGCCAACUUCUUCAGAUGCAGGAACAGGAGCGAGAGAAACAAGAUGCCUUGUCCAAGAUCGCAAAGCUGAUGGAGACAAAGCGAGCCGGGGCCUUGUGGGGUAAAGGCUAGCAUGCAUAGCGCAUGCUCUCUCAUGAUGCUGGGCAGGGACGGCCACAGCUCCUAGUCAGCCACGUGAUCACCAGGACAAACAACAGAUACACUGCAGAUGACCAUUCUGUUUUUCACUUUCAAUACAGUAUUCAGUAAAUUACAUGAGAUAUUAAACAUUUUAUAAU